rnacentral:siRNA from 1 species
ACACCUCCUUCUCCUUUACUUCCU